GUAAGGGAUUGGGUCAAGAACCCGUUGAUAUGUGUAUGAGGUGUGUAUAGGAGAAUCCAUUUGGGCCCGAGCCCACACAGAUUCACACCGUCAACGGUCCAAAAGAGUCGGAUCUGGCCAGGAUGCAAACGAAUUGGGUUUCACAUGAACCACUCCAAAAGCUCAGCUUAUCAAAAAGGCAAAUUCUCCCUAACGCUCACGAAUCGAACGAAUCGCCGCCGUCGACCGGAAUAAAAUGCCAUGGAGUCAUAUCACAUCGCAUCUCCUCAUGGAUGAAGCUUCAACUUCUCACAAAGAGCCAAGACGAAAAUUCGAAUGCGCUUCCAAAGUCAAGGUCGAAAACCGAAUGCUGAAUCGCAACUUUGCAUAAAACGGAAGCGAUCGAAGAUUGGAAUCGUACCGAAUUCGUGCUUUGUGCGGAGACGAAGAUGAAGAUGAAUUCCUGCGCGUUCGCCUUUAUGGAUUGAGAUGAGGAGAACGAAGUUAUUGUUGAUGCGUGAUGAAGUGCGAAAACGGAAUCACGAAUCGAAUCGUUAGAGAAGAGCACGUGAUGAUGCAUUGAAUAUGAGGAACUUGGUCUCAGAGUCGAGGAUCGUUGUUGUGCGAGUUGAGGUUGAAGCGACGAUUCUGCGAGCAUUCAGCCACGGAAGUUCAUUGCAGAGAUUGCAGAAGGAAUUUGGUUGGAGGUUUUGGGGAGAGAAAAAGAUUGAAGGUGAAGAAGAAGAUUGAAGGAAUCACAAACUGGUGGAGCACGGAAGCACGAAUAGGUCGGAGUAAUCGUAGCUUGAAGACAUGAUGUCAUGAGCUACGAUAAAUUGAAGCAACUUACCGGAAUAAAGCGACGCGGAGGUUCUGGUGUCGUCGAUGUCGAUGCCGUUCACAUGUGAUUUUCUUUAUGUGCUUUUUACAAUUUCUUCUUUCUUCUUCUUCUGAAUUCGUGAGCGGUGAACAGCUUCGAAGCUUCAAUGGCUUAUCUGAAAUCAAUGGCUUAUCUGAAAUAGAAAAACAAAAAGAGCUCUGGUGAGGGUGAGGGAGAAGGUUGCAAGAGAGAGUGCAGGUUUAAGCCAAAAAAUGACAAGGGCUCAAAAUGUGAGUGAUCAAUCCCUUAAAUAGAGUUAAGGCUGGGAUUUGCUAGCUUUGGAUUGAGGUUAGGAAUUAGUUGAGGGUGGCUUGGAGUUAGUUAGGGACUACUCACUGAGUUAGCUGAUAACUCAGUUAGUUAGUGAGCAAACUCAGUUAGUUAGGGACUUUGUUAUUGAAUGAAAAUUGAAAAAUCCGUUUUCUGAAGUUGAAGUUAGCUUUAAAGUCAGUUAAGAAUUAAUUUUGGAUUAGUUAGUUGAGUGUUAGUAAACCUUUUUAAACUCUGUUAUGCCAAUGUUAGCAAGUUGUUAGGUUAGGUUGUUUGAUGUGUUAUUGAUGCUGAAUUUUGCAGGGUUGAUAGUUUGCUAAUGAGAAUGCAGAGUUGGUUAGAAUUCUAUUAUGGAUGUUGAAAACAGUGGGAAUGUUACAAGUUAAAAAUUCUGUUAUAUCCUUUUUUUAGUUCUGUUAGGAGUUUUCUAAUCAUUUCUAUCCUGCAAAGAUGCAGAUGUUGCAACUCCAUGAGAGGUUUUGAAACUCUCUCUAUUUGGAGAUGGAGCUCUUGCUGCAAGUGCUUGCUUUAGGUCCAGCAAUUCUUGCCUCUGUGAACGGCAAAUAGCAGUGGAUUUGUUACCGUGCCCGGAGUUCAGCUUUGUGUUAUCAAAUUCUGCAACAAAGGUGUUAAAAGACUGGUCUUGGAAAUUAGUAUUCUUCUCCAGAUUUGACAUAUGCCUCUGACUUGCAUGAUCUUUAUCUGGGAAAAAAUUAAUUUCAAAGUCCUUGGAAGAUGCAACUUCGGGCUUGUGUAACUUCCCAUGUACACUGCUUUUUGCAGUCUGAGUUUGUGUGUUGGCCACUUUGUUCGUACCAACAUUUUUGGGUAACUGAUCAUUGUCGGGACGAAUUCUAUCAUGUUAUGAAAUGAAAGUGAUAUGCAAUGAACUUGAAGUUGUCAUGGAUUUAUGGCUUGUUUGGGACAUGUUACGCAACAUGUUUAUGGACCUUAUCCAAGUCAACUAUACCGUAUGCGCCUGGACCGUUUGGGAAAGCUAGCAACGGUGACGCGACAUUGUGUGGUACAGUUCUGUAGUUAAUGUUAAUUGGAGAUUGGUUGUUAGUUUUGUUUCCGUGUAUUGACGCUUUAUUAAUGAAUGCAGGUUUUGGUGUAAUGGUUAAUGAGCAAAUUAAAAAACAGUUAGUCUGAUUUGAAGGAAUGUGAUGUAAUGUUAUAAAGUUUUUAAAAAUGAUUUUGCAACUUUGGAUAGUUACAGGGAUAGGUUGAAUUGCGAAGUUAGAGAUUUGAUGCAGGGUUAAUGUUUUCUUCUUCUGGUUCAGAUUAGUUGUAGGGGUUCAAUGUGGCCCAAUGUGUUGUAAACUGUUAUGCAUUUGGUUCUGUA